rnacentral:rRNA from 1 species
UACGUAGGGUGCGAGCGUUACUCGGAAUUACUGGGCGUAAAGCGUGCGCAGGCGGCUUUGUAAGCCAGAUGUGAAAUCCCCGGGCUCAACCUGGGAAUGGCAUUUGGGACUGCAAGGCUGGAGUGCGGCAGAGGAGACUGGAAUUCCUGGUGUAGCAGUGAAAUGCGUAGAUAUCGGAAAGAACACCAACGGCGAAAGCACUCUGCUGGGCCGACACUGACACUGAGAGACGAAAGCUAGGGGAGCGAAUGGG